UUCCUGCAUGUUGUAACAGUCAUGAUUGUCACGAAGCAUUUAUAUAUAAUGGCCUUCGAUUUUACUUUGCUUUGCUGUUUAGUAUACUUUAAGCAUAAUACAGUGUUUAUGAGAACAACAGUCAACAAUACAUACUACAAAUCAUAUGAACCAAAGCUAAAAUAUUGAAGGUUUAACUAUACCUAACACUAUAAGAUAUCCUCAAAUUAUUUUAAGUUUGGACUCAAUAAUUAAAAAGACUAAAAUCCUUUACACUACAAACUAUUACAGCGCAUAAUAUCACGAUUGAGGGCUGUGAUGCAUUAUAGGUGGUUCAGACACAAACAACAUCGCUGUCAGUGUCAAGGGGAGAAGGGUUAUACGCCGGAUUCACCAAAAGAUCGUCUGUAUUUGGCAAUGGUUUCUGUGGGCAGCCAUGGCAUCCUUUGCUGCGCUUGUUGCGGUGGGUUACAUACCUCAUGUUGUUGAAGGUUAUCAAGUUGUUGCUGUGGUGUAUAUCGUGACGCUGUAUUCAUCGUUCGAAUGUUUGAUGAAUUGGCAACAAAGCCGGUGAAAGGGUCGGUGUCAGGCGCAAAUCUGCGAUACUCUGUUUGUCGAGAGAACCGUUUUAGUUCGGAGCAGCAGGAACAGAUACAAGCGCAAAGAAAGACUGAAAAAACGCCAGCAACCGUGCCGCCGAUGAUGGUGACCAAUGGAGCCUUUGAACCGUCUGUUGAGCAAGCUACAUCUUUAAAGCUGCUCCAAAUGCACCUUCUUUAUGUGUAAAGUUUUCAAGAACUUUUCACGUAAGAUUCUCUCAAGUUUAAGCCAGAAAAUCGAAAGUAAAUUUUAAAUAUUUGCAAUUUUU